rnacentral:misc_RNA from 1 species
GAAAUGCGAUACGUAAUGUGAAUUGCAGAAUUCCGUGAAUCAUCGAAUCUUUGAACGCACAUUGCGCCCGCCAGCAUUCUGGCGGGCAUGCCUGUUCGAGCGUCAUUUCAACCAUCAAGCCCCAGGCUUGCGUUGGAGGCCUGCGGCUGCCGCAGCCUCUGAAAUACAGUGGCGGGCUCGCUAACGCACCGAGCGCAGUAGAUUUCUCCUCGCUCAGGGCGCGCAGCGGGCGCUGGCCGUGAAACCCCCCUAUAUUUUCAAGGUUGACCUCGGAUCAGGUAGGAAUACCCGCUGAACUUAA